rnacentral:rRNA from 1 species
UACGUAGGGGGCAAGCGUUGUCCGGAAUUACUGGGCGUAAAGCGUGCGCAGGCGGUUCUAUAAGACAGAUGUGAAAUCCCCGGGCUUAACCUGGGAAUGGCAUUGGUGACUGCACGGCUAGAGUGUGUCAGAGGGGGGUAGAAUUCCACGUGUAGCAGUGAAAUGCGUAGAGAUGUGGAGGAAUACCGAUGGCGAAGGCAGCCCCCUGGGAUAACACUGACGCUCAUGCACGAAAGCGUGGGGAGCAAACAGG